UGACUGAGUUUCUGGAUUCGUUCGUGUGAUAGUCGUCAGGAAUGCGUUCCUUGUUCGUGAAUUUUUACAAGAGAUUUUCGUGGUUUUUUGAGGACUUACGUAUGGUUGGCCAUCGAUGGGAAGUGUUCUAUUAUGCUGGAUUAUUGCAGAUUUUACUUCAGUGUGUGGAUGAAGUGUUGCAUGACAUUACCACCUGCUGUUGCUUAAUUGAAGAAAAGACUGGCUUUUGGGAGCAAGCUGCAGUCCAAACACAAAGCAGUAGUUCGCCUGAAAACUAAACCAGAAUGAAGACUGACCUCCCUGGUGGUGCCAUGGGCCUUCCUUCCAUAGAGCAGCAGUUUGUCAUGCGGAGCUCUAUUUUUGAAUACUGUUAAAACUUGAAAGGA